UAAAUCUUUCUUUAAGAAGAGGAGAAAAUUCGGAUGUGGUAGCACAUGUCAAUUCCAGCACCCAAGAGGCAGAGACCGGUAGAUUUUUAUGAGUCCAAAGCGAGCCUAGUCUACGCGAGUGCUGUCUACCGAUCUGCCAUAUUUCUCAGACCAGCAAAAUGUACAAUAUCACCGUGAGUGCAAUGAACAGUGACUGCAGCGCCGGACCGCGGUCAGUGUGACGUCUUAAGGACGGUUUGAGGGUCCGGCUGGGUCCUGGGGGGAGGAGAGGCCAGAGGCCAGGAGACUGUAGCAGAGGUUAAAGCCUCAAUCAAAGUGGAGAGGCAUGAGAGGGAAAGGACCAGGCCGGCAGGCAUUCCUAAGGAGGGGAUACAGUGCACUUCAGCAGACCGGCUCCGGGAAAUUGGGAAGGAAAAAUCAUAGGGGAGGGCAUCAGCAAGGAUGAGGGCGGGCACCAAGGGGGCAAGCCCUCGGACAGGCAGGAUAGAGACUCGGUGUGAGUGGUUAGAGGUAACAAGGGACAACUAAUAGAACAUGUUUUGUGUCCCAGAAGGAGGUGAGAAUUGUGGCCUGGCAGGUAGGGCUGGCGGCUGAGAGCUGGUUACCUUAUGGUGGUGUGAGAUGCCAUGAGCUUGGAGACAAGAGGAAAGACUCAAGAGAGACCCACAGCCCAAGGAAGAAGGGAAGGAAAGAAGAAGCCCACAGAGACUAGAUGGAGACGGUACGGUGAGCACAGUACUUGCCAGGGAAGUCUGAUGACCUGUGCUUGAUCCCAGAGCCCACUUUAAAAAGCUGCAUGUGGGCUAGAGAGAUGGCUCAUUGAUGCUCUUGCAGAGGACUCAGGUCCUGGCACCCACGUGGCAACUCACAACCAUUCGUGACUUAAUUUCCAGGGGCCAACGCCCUCUUCUGGCCUCCGUGGGCACUGCAUGCCUGUGGUGCCCUGACAUCCAUGCAGAGCACACACACACACACACACACACACACACACACACACACACACACACACACACACACUCCUAACAUAAAAAAUAAAUAAAUCUUUAAAAUAUAAAAUAAAAUGUUGGAUAUGAUAACAAGCAUAUAUAAUUCCAGCACUCCUAUGGCAAAAUGGGAGGUGGAGGCAGGAGAAUUGUUGGGACUAACUAGUCUGGAAAAUGCAACAGAGCAGAAAAGAGGACUUGCCUCAAAAUUAUGUGGAAGGAAGGAACCAUUCUGAAAAACUGUGCUCUGACCUCUACGUGUGUACCGUAGCAUGAAAAUAUCUAUUAUACAUGAUGCAUGUGCACACACACACACAUUAAAGAUUAGAAUGUCUACACACAUUAUCAUCAUGUAUGUGUAUACAUACAUACACCACACACACUAAAGAUUAGGAAUGGGAAAAAAAAAGAGAGAGAAAGAGAGAGAGCCAAAGAGAAUAAGAAGAGAGAAGUUUCCUAGAAAUCACAGAAGUAUUUCAAGAGAAGCAGGUGGCCAGUAGUGUCAGAUUCCAAAGAAAGGCCAAGUGACAGAGAAGAGAACUUGGGUCAUCUUGCAGGAAGCAGCUUCCGGAGAGUCACAGGCAGAGCCUGGCUGCUGAUUUAAUUAAGGAGAAGGAUGGCGUGGAUGAGAGUUAAUAAAGAACGAGCCAGGAAGUGCAGGCAGUGGGGGUUAUGCCUUUCAACCGAGUGAUUUGCCAAAUGGAAUGAAUGAGACCAAACACUGACCGGAGGGAAGCAGGCCAGAUAGCGUGGUUGAUUUUGUUUUUCAGAUAAGGCAGCCCCAAGCAUGUGGGGUACGGUGAAGAGAGACCUCCUUGCUUUGUUCUCUGCUCCCUUUUGUCUUUUCUGGUACCGUUUCCUCAUUCCCAGCUCUCUUUCUGGAACUUAGGAGGGUGGCUUGUAAAUACUCAGAGAGUAUGAGAGGGACUCACAGACGCAAAGGCUGAGGGCUCCCUCCUCACUCCACAGACGCAUGGAGGGAGCUCGUCCUGGAGCUUAUGGAGUCCCUCACUCUCAGGCCUUGGCUCUCGCUGAUUGGCCUGACAAGCAUCUCAGUCUCCAGAGGUCUCUGCUCUUAAGGUAAAAUGGGUACAUAGAGGUCUGGGAAAUAAACCAUGCCUCGAGACCCAGGGUCAGCCUUUGCUCAUGUUUCAAUGUCUGUGAUUUAUCCUAGAAUUACAAUGUCUAGAUGCUCAACCUAUAACCCAGGCCUGGGAUGGCUCCCUUACCUCUGGGUUGGGCCCUUGCUGUUCUUUAAGAACUUGGUAGAAUGUUCUCUGAUGUUCCCGUACUGCCCAGACAUGCAGCCCACCACUGUGUGUCCGACUUUCCGAACAAGAAUUAAAAACGGAUUAAGUCAACAAGUAGACACACACAUGCCGGCUUUCCUGAGCAUGGGAGAAGGUAGCAAGUCACUCCCUGACCUGAGGCUCCGAGUCACAUUUGGAAGAAGGGACCUGAGGGGCUGGCUGCUGCUUUCCUCGUGGGGUGCCUGCCUUCCAGGAGCUGCAGGCGGCCUGAGGGUUAGAGUUGUGCUUGGGCCUGGGGACAGAUAGAAACUGCGAGCUGGGCAGACUCCCCGAAGUCUGAAGAGAGGAGGCUGUAGAAAAGGCCUCGGAAUUUACCAGGCUAGAAGAGCUGACCCAUUCUGAGCUGGAAGAACGGGAAAGGAGCAGGAGAAUGUGGUGGUUGGUUUUUUGUUGUUUUGUUUUUUGGAGAGAAGAGCAGAUGAGGCUGUCUGCAAAGUCCAAGGGUGGGGCUGCCAGAGGUUGGCCCCACCGGGCUCUGGACAGGCCAAGACCGUAGAAAGAGUGUCAGAGCUUGGCUGCUGUGUGUAUUUGUCACAGGGGAGGUGACCUUGCCCAAGGUCAGUGCCUCGUGGUGGAGAGAAACCAGGGCAGAGGAUUGGGCUUGUGCAAGGGGCCCGUGCUGGGCCCCUCGUCUCUGAGAUUACAGUCUUGGCUGCCAAGAGCAACUCCGUGGGGGUGGAAUGAGACAAAGCGGAGGUCCUUUUGUGGGGCUGGGUUCCUAAGAAUAGCCAUGGCUGGGCUCUGCAAGGUGCCUCCGUAGCCUGUCAUGUCCCAAGCCCUGUUCUCAGAGGUGUCCCCGUGCCUGGGGGAGUGGAGCUCAUUAGCCCCACCUCAGCCUCUGUGGCCUGUGUUUGUCCAGCUCUGUUGGAAGAGAAGGCGGAGGGCAGAGGAGUGGGCACAGAGUUGGCACACAUGGGUGAGGGAGGGCGGCAAAGGCCACGAGCCUGGAAAAGCAAACUGAAGCCCACAGCUGGAAACAGUGAUGCUCCUGGGAGGAGAGAAGGUGGAACAGGAGGAGCCAGCAUUGGCCAGAUGUGGGAACCAGGGGUGGGGAGACUUGUGGGAAGUCGCGGCAGGAAGCGCAUGGAGGCAGAGAGGCAGAGGCGAAACCAGGCGUGG